rnacentral:rRNA from 1 species
UGGGGAAUAUUGCACAAUGGGCGAAAGCCUGAUGCAGCGACGCCGCGUGAGGGAUGACGGCCUUCGGGUUGUAAACCUCUUUCAGCAGGGACGAAGCGCAAGUGACGGUACCUGCAGAAGAAGCACCGGCUAACUACGUGCCAGCAGCCGCGGUAAUACGUAGGGUGCAAGCGUUGUCCGGAAUUACUGGGCGUAAAGAGUUCGUAGGCGGUUUGUCGCGUCGUUUGUGAAAACCAGCAGCUCAACUGCUGGCUUGCAGGCGAUACGGGCAGACUUGGGUACUGCAGGGGAGACUAGAAUUCCUGGUGUAGCGGUGAAAUGCGCAGAUAUCAGGAGGAACACCGGUGGCGAAGGCGGGUCUCUGGGCAGUAACUGACGCUGAGGAACGAAAGCGUGGGUAGCGAACAGG